CAUCCCAAUGAAGAAUGAUUCAAAUUAAAAGUAGUGGACAGAAAUCUAUUGAUGAGUAAUGAAUUCUGAGGGAUG